AUCAACGCUGGCGGUCGUGCCUAACACAUGCAAGUCGAACGAGAAAGUGGAGCAAUCCAUGAGUAAAGUGGCGACCGGGUGAGUAACACGUGACUAACCUACCUCCGAGUGGGGAAUAACUCCGGGAAACCGGGGCUAAUACCGCAUAACAUCGCAAGAUCAAAGCAGCAAUGCGCUUGGAGAGGGGGGUCGCGGCUGAUUAGCUAGUGGUGAGGGUAACGGCCCACCAAGGCGAAGAUCGGUAUCCGGCCUGAGAGGGCGCACGGACACACUGGAACUGAAACACGGUCCAGACUCCUACGGGAGGCAGCAGUGGGGAAUUUUGCGCAAUGGGGGGAAACCCUGACGCAGCAACGCCGCGUGGAGGAUGAAGCCCUUUGGGGCGUAAACUCCUUUCGACCGGGACGAUUAUGACGGUACCGGUGGAAGAAGCACCGGCUAACUCUGUGCCAGCAGCCGCGGUAAUACAGAGGGUGCAAGCGUUGUUCGGAAUUAUUGGGCGGUAAAGGGCGCGUAGGCGGUGCGGCAAGUCACCUGUGAAAUCUCCUGGCUUAACUGGGAGCCUGCAGGCGAAACUGCACGUGCUGGGGAGUGUGGGAGAGGUGCGUGGAAUUCCCGGUAGUAGCGGUGUGAAAUGCGUAGAUAUCGGGAGGGAACACCUGUGGCGAAAGCGGCGCACUGGGACCAUAACUGACGCUGAUGGCGCGAAAGCUAGGGGAGCAAACAGGAUUAGAUACCUGGUAGUCCUAGCCCUAAACGAUGAUUGCUUGGUGUGUGUAGCAGGUUACCCAAUCCUGCUGUGCCGCAGCUAACGCGAUAAGCAAUCCGCCUGGGGAGUACGGUCGCAAGGCUGAAACUCAAAGGAAUUGAACGGGGGGCCCGCACAAGCGGUGGAGCAUUGUGGUUCAAUUCGACGCAACGCGAAGAACCUUACCUGGACUCGAAGCGCAGUGGACCGGGGUGGAAACAUCCCUUUCUCGCAAGAGACUGCUGCGGAGGUGCUGCAUGGCUGUCGUCAGCUCGUGUCGUGAGAUGUUGGGUUAAGUUCCCGCAACGAGCGCAACCCUUAUCCCUAGUUGCCAUCGGGUCAAGCCGGGCACUCUAGUGAAACUGCCUCGGAUAACGAGGAGGAAGGUGGGGAUGACGUCAAGUCCUCAUGGCCUUUAUGUCCAGGGCCACACACGUGCUACAAUGGUCGGUACGAACCGUCGCAAACCCGUGAGGGGGAGCUAAUCGGAAAAAGCCGGCCUCAGUUCGGAUUGGAGUCUGCAACUCGACUCCAUGAAGCUGGAAUCGCUAGUAAUCGCGGAUCAGAACGCCGCGGUGAAUACGUUUCCCGGGCCUUGUACACACCGCCCGUCACAUCACGAAAGUGGGCCGUACUAGAAGCAGGUGUGCUAACCGCAAGGAGGCAGCCUUCCAAGGUACAGCUCAUGAUUGGGGUG
rnacentral:rRNA from 1 species